AUGCAGUCGAGGGGUAACAGGGUGCUUGCACCGCUGACGACCGGCGCACGGGUGCGUAACGCGUAUACAAUCUACCUUAUAGAGGGGGAUAGCCCAGAGAAAUUUGGAUUAAUACCCCAUAGUAUUAUGAAAUAGCAUUAUUUUAUAAUUAAACAUUUAUGGCUAUAAGAUGAGUAUGCGUUCUAUUAGUUAGUAGGUAAGGUAACGGCUUACCUAGACUUCGAUAGAUAGGGGUCCUGAGAGGGAGAUCCCCCACACUGGUACUGAGACACGGACCAGACUCCUACGGGAGGCAGCAGUGAGGAAUAUUGGACAAUGGGCGAGAGCCUGAUCCAGCCAUGCCGCGUGCAGGAAGACGGCCCUAUGGGUUGUAAACUGCUUUUACAGAGGAAGAAACACUCCCUUGCGAGGGAGCUUGACGGUACUCUGCGAAUAAGGAUCGGCUAACUCCGUGCCAGCAGCCGCGGUAAUACGGAGGAUCCAAGCGUUAUCCGGAAUCAUUGGGUUUAAAGGGUCCGUAGGCGGGACAAUCAGUCAGCGGUGAAAGUCUGUGGCUCAACCAUAGAGUUGCCAUUGAUACUGUUGUUCUUGAAUACUUAUGAAGUGGUUGGAAUAUGUAGUGUAGCGGUGAAAUGCAUAGAUAUUACAUAGAACACCGAUUGCGAAGGCAGAUCACUAAUAAUUUAUUGACGCUGAUGGACGAAAGCGUAGGUAGCGAACA
rnacentral:rRNA from 1 species